GGAAGCGUAUUUCAUCCGGUGGUGGGCGUGGUCUUCAAAACCACUGAGCGGCCGCAAAGCCGCUGAUCGGUUCGACUCCGAUACGCUUCC
rnacentral:tRNA from 20 species